GCCGGGCGUGGUGGCGCACGCCUAUAAUCCCAGCUACUCAGGAGGCUGAGGCAGGAGAAUUGCUUGAACCCGGGAGGCAGAGGUUGCAGUGAGCUGAGAUUGUGCCACUGCACUCCAGCCUGGGUGACAGAGCUAGACUCUGUCUGAA
rnacentral:SRP_RNA from 1 species